GAUGAGCGCUGGCGGCGUGCCUAAUACAUGCAAGUCGAGCGAACAGACGAGGAGCUUGCUCCUCUGACGUUAGCGGCGGACGGGUGAGUAACACGUGGAUAACCUACCUAUAAGACUGGGAUAACUUCGGGAAACCGGAGCUAAAACCGGAUAAUAUAUUGAACCGCAUGGUUCAAUAGUGAAAGACGGUUUUGCUGUCACUUAUAGAUGGAUCCGCGCCGCAUUAGCUAGUUGGUAAGGUAACGGCUUACCAAGGCAACGAUGCGUAGCCGACCUGAGAGGGUGAUCGGCCACACUGGAACUGAGACACGGUCCAGACUCCUACGGGAGGCAGCAGUAGGGAAUCUUCCGCAAUGGGCGAAAGCCUGACGGAGCAACGCCGCGUGAGUGAUGAAGGUCUUCGGAUCGUAAAACUCUGUUAUUAGGGAAGAACAAAUGUGUAAGUAACUAUGCACGUCUUGACGGUACCUAAUCAGAAAGCCACGGCUAACUACGUG
rnacentral:rRNA from 1 species